rnacentral:RNase_P_RNA from 1 species
CGAGCAAGAUUGAUAAUCGCUUGUUUUUUUAGUUUUUAAAUGAAAACAAGAGGAAAGUCCGAACUCCACGAGAACGUGACGGUGGAUAAUAACCACAAGGAGUAAUCCUAUGGAAAGUGCAACAGAAAAUAAACCGCCGAAAGGUAAGGGUGAAACAGUGAGGUAAGAGCUCACUACAAAUGUGGAAACAUAUUUGUUUGUAAACCCCGUCAGGAGCAAUGCUAAAUUAUGUAUAACGGUACGCCGUGGCGUGUUCUCGCGCUCUAUACAUGGGUAAGCAGCUUGAGGUUGUGGGCAAUCACAAUCCUAGAUUAAUGGUUAUCAAAAACAGAAUUCGGCUUACAUCUUGCUCAUUCA